rnacentral:lncRNA from 1 species
AGACCCUCGCUUCCCCGCCAGGGCAGGUUUCUGCCACCUCAGUGCUUUUGCAGGUGGUGGGAUCCAUGGAGGAGAAAACUCAGAUCUGCGGACUCCUCUCCACCUGGCGCCCACACAGGUUCCAAAGGUGGAAACACAGAUGACAGAUUUUUGGUCUUUUCGUCAUUUCCUAUGUUUGGAAUAGUUCACCAGUGAAGUCAUCUCAACCAGCACAGGGCCUUGACUCCUAACAACAAUCACACGAACUUGGAAGAGGAGCCUUCCCCACCUGAACCUUCACUUGAGACCUCGUCCUUGGCCAUCCUCUACAUCUGGAUUCAUGAUACAGAGAAACUUGAGUAAUGAUGACAAUAGCAGUCCAGUGUGCAUGGAUGCUGACGUGGAUGCUGUCUCCCAUUCUUACCACUGGAUGGGAAGAAAUGAUAGAUGCAAUCCAGCCAUUGUGUUCUCGACUCUCAGUUCCAUCUUCUCAACUGACAUUGUCUUCCAAAGUCCGUGCCACACCACAGCCUGGAACAUCUCCCAAAGUGGUAUCUUGAUGCAAUGGUAGAGCUCAUGUCACAGUAUUGUAUGUCUCAGGUUUGAAUAACUCACCAGUGAAGUCAUCUUGACCUGGACAGAAAUUGAAUCCUCCCGAGAAUCCCAGGAGCUGGACUCCAUUAUGGAUUUAUGGGACCACACAUUCUCUUGACACUCACAUCAUGGAUCUAUAUUGUCCUGUGGUAUAUUAAUCUGUUCUCAUGUUGCUGAUAAAGACUUACCUAAGACUGGACCAUGAUCAUGGACUGCAUUCUCCAUACCAUGUUCAUAUCUUCAGUGGGAAAACAAACUCCUGAGUCCUGGAGACCUAGAAUGAGAGACACAGCUGACCUUGACCGUAUUUCUCACUUCUGAGAAGAUUGUAGCAGUAAUUCAGGUCUUUGUGGAAUCUCCACACUGCCUUCCACAAUGGUUGAACUAAUUUGGACGUCCACCAACGGUGUAGAGGUUAAUCCUAAGAACAGUUACAUGAGCUUGGAAGGAGACCCUUCCCCAGCUGAGCCUUAGCCUGGACCAUCACCUACAUCUGGACUGAAGACCUAGAGAAACAACUCUAUCAGGAAUCACUUGGGACUGUGCAUUCUGUUGACACUCACUUUGUGGAAUUAAGUUGCCCACUGCCAACCCUAAAGCCACCAAGGUAGCAGAUGAGGUCUUGUUCUUUUGGCCAGGCUGGAGUGCAGUGGUACAGUCGUGACUCACUGCAGCUUCAAACACCUGGGUUCCAGCAUUCAUCCCACUUCAGCCUCCCGUGUAGCCGGGACUACAGGUA